UACGUAGGGGGCAAGCGUUGUCCGGAUUCAUUGGGCGUAAAGAGCGUGUAGGCGGCCAGGUAGGUCGGUUGUGAAAACUGGAGGCUCAACCUUCAGAGGUCGACCGAAACCAUCUGGCUAGAGUCCGGGAGAGGAGAGUGGAAUUCCUGGUGUAGCGGUGAAAUGCGCAGAUAUCAGGAAGAACACCCGUGGCGAAAGCGGCUCUCUGGAACGGUACUGACGCUGAGACGCGAAAGCUAGGGUAGCAAACAGG
rnacentral:rRNA from 1 species